rnacentral:rRNA from 1 species
GAUGAACGCUGGCGGCGUGCUUAACACAUGCAAGUCGAACGAAGCACUUUACCACGAUUCCUUCGGGAUGACGGUUUAGUGACUGAGUGGCGGACGGGUGAGUAACGCGUGGGGAACCUGCCCCAUACCGGGGGAUAACAGCCGGAAACGGCUGCUAAUACCGCAUAAGCGCACAGUACCGCAUGGUACGGUGUGAAAAACUCCGGUGGUAUGGGAUGGACCCGCGUCUGAUUAGCCAGUUGGCGGGGUAACGGCCCACCAAAGCGACGAUCAGUAGCCGGCCUGAGAGGGCGACCGGCCACAUUGGGACUGAGACACGGCCCAGACUCCUACGGGAGGCAGCAGUGGGGAAUAUUGGACAAUGGGGCGAAAAGCCUGAUCCAGCGACGCCGCGUGAGCGAUGAAGUAUUUCGGUAUGUAAAGCUCUAUCAGCAGGGAAGAAAACGACGGUACCUGACUAAGAAGCCCCGGCUAACUACGUG